GACGAACGCUGGCGGCGUGCUUAACACAUGCAAGUCGAACGGAAAGGCCCUGCUUUUGUGGGGUGCUCGAGUGGCGAACGGGUGAGUAACACGUGAGUAACCUGCCCUUGACUUUGGGAUAACUUCAGGAAACCGGGGCUAAUACCGGAUAGUAGCUCCUGCUGCAUGGUGGGGGUUGGAAAGUUUUGGCGGUUGGGGAUGGACUCGCGGCUUAUCAGCUUGUUGGGGGGGUUGUGGCUUACCAAGGCUUUGACCGGUAGCCGGCCUGAGCGGGUUACCGGCCUCAUUGGGACUGAGAUACGGCCCAGACUCCUACGGGAGGCAGCGGUGGGGAAUAUUACACAAUGGGCGGGAGUCUGUUUCAGCAACGCCGCGUGCGGGAUGACGGCCUUCGGGUGGUAAACCGCUUUCGCCUGUGACGAAGCGUGAGUGACGGUAAUGGGUAAAGAAGCACCGGCUAACUACGUG
rnacentral:rRNA from 1 species